UUUAAAAUGAGAGUUUGAUCCUGGCUCAGGACGAACGCUGGCGGCGUGCCUAAUACAUGCAAGUCGAACGAAACU
rnacentral:rRNA from 1 species